rnacentral:lncRNA from 1 species
GGAAGAAGGAGAGAACUUGUUGUAUCAUACAGCAGGGCCAGGGGACACGGGAAUGGUGGCCUGUCAAUGGCUGUGGUCAUCUGUCUAGAGGGAAAUAGUGAGGUCUUCACAUUUCUGUCUGUGAGGAGGAGUCACAAUUCAAAAGGUGGGUUUUGUUCCCAAUUGGAUUGAAUACAAUCAGAGGUACAAGAAGAUAUGACUGAAAAAAAAAUAAUAACAGAAGUCACUAACUUUUGUCUCGCUUAGUUUCCAGCGAAGUUUCCACAAGAUCCAAUACUGUUUUGUGAAAUCUUCCAACUUGGUUAAAACAGCUUCUUCCCCGCCGCUUUUUUCCCCAGAUGAAGUCCUGAGAAGCCACAGACACACCCUGGUUUGCUCAGUGAAAAGGAGCCCUCUACGGAUCGUAGCCCCACACACAGAGUGCCCAGGACUAGCGGCUUGGAGGUGCUCUGAAGACCUUUGCAGAAAUGCUGCCUUUACUCCCAGGGCUGGGCUUCUUCCUUUUGGUUGGUGAGUAUUACCGUGAGGGUGACGGGUGUCCCGGGAGGAUUUUCCAUACCAGCAGCUGUAGCUGAGGUAAAGCUCAAAAGAGAAAAUUGUGCUGAAAGACCAUU